rnacentral:rRNA from 1 species
CCUACGGGAGGCAGCAGUCGAGAAUCAUUCACAAUGGGGGAAACCCUGAUGGUGCGACGCCGCGUGGGGGAAUGAAGGUCUUCGGAUUGUAAACCCCUGUCAUGUGGGAGCAAAUUGAAAAGAUAGUACCACACGAGGAAGAGACGGCUAACUCUGUGCCAGCAGCCGCGGUAAUACAGAGGUCUCAAGCGUUGUUCGGAAUCACUGGGCGUAAAGCGUGCGUAGGCUGUUUCGUAAGUCGUGUGUGAAAGGCGCGGGCUCAACCCGCGGACGGCACAUGAUACUGCGAGACUAGAGUAAUGGAGGGGGAACCGGAAUUCGCGGUGUAGCAGUGAAAUGCGUAGAUAUCGAGAGGAACACUCGUGGCGAAGGCGGGUUCCUGGACAUAAACUGACGCUGAGGCACGAAGGCCAGGGGAGCGAAAGGGAUUAGAUACCCCUGUAGUC